AAUCUUUCAUCUCUCUCAAAUUUCUCGAAACAUAUCAUUUUUUUUCAGUCAAAGUCAAACAUGGCUAGUAACUCUCAUAAGCUCCAUGUUAUGUUCUUCCCUAUCAUGGCUCAUGGUCACAUGAUACCAACUCUAGACAUGGCUAAGCUAUUCUCCAGCAGAGGAGCCAAGUCCACUAUUCUAACCACACCUCUCAACGCCAAGAUCCUCCAGAAACCCAUCGACAUAUUCAAGAACCUCAAUCCGAGUCUCCAAAUCGAGAUCCAGAUUUUGGAUUUUCCUUGCGUCCAGCUCGGGUUACCAGAAGGAUGCGAAAACGCUGACUUCUUCACCUUAACCAACAACAUUGAUGAUAGACGCGCCAUGAUCUCCAAAUUCUUUUUGGCGACCAGGUUUUUCAAAGACCAGCUUGAGAAGCUCCUCGAGACCAGGAGACCAGACUGUCUUAUCGCCGACAUGUUCUUCCCGUGGGCUACUGAAGCUGCUGAGAAGUUCCAUGUGCCAAGACUUGUGUUCCACGGCACUGGCUACUUCUCUUUAUGCGCUAGUUAUUGCAUCAGAGUGCAUAACCCACAGAAGAGAGUAGCUACAAGUAGCGAGCCAUUUGUGAUCCCUGAUCUCCCAGGGAACAUUGUGAUAACUCGAGGACAGAUCUUAGACCGUGGUGAAGACACCGAGAUGGGGAAGUUUAUGACCGAGGUUUUAGAAUCAGAAGCGAAGAGCUCAGGUGUUGUUGUGAACAGCUUCUACGAGCUUGAACCUGACUAUGCUGAUUUUUACAAGAGUAGUGUAGCAAAGAGAGCGUGGCAUAUUGGUCCGCUCUCGGUUCACAACAGAGGAUUUGAGGAGAAGGCUGAGAGAGGAAAGAAAGCAAGCAUUGAUGAAGCUGAAUGCCUCAAGUGGCUUGACUCCAAGAAACCAGAUUCAGUCGUUUACAUUUCAUUUGGGAGCGUGGCUAACAUCAAGAACGAGCAGACGUGGGAGCCACAAAGCAUGUGAAAGCUAUGGAAGAUGAUAUCAUUAGUAGAGAGAAAGUAGAGAAGGCGGUGAGAGAGGUCUUGGUUGGGGUAGAGGCGGAGGAGAGGCGUAAACGGGCGAAGAAGCUGGCGGAGAUGGCUAAAGCUGCGGUGGAAGAAGGAGGGUCUUCUUUUAACGAUCUAAACAACUUCAUAAAAGAGUUCAGCUCAUGAUGAUUCUUCGUAUAGAGUUUUGGUUACAACUCUUAUAUUGGGAAUAAGACAAAACCUAAUGUAAUAUUCAAGGAAUAUAGGUUAAUCAAUCUUUCAUUUUCACUUGAGCGAGCUAGUAUGAAUUUGUAUCUAGAAGCGGCAGUCAAUAAUUUUCCCAACUGUUUGAUUCUAAGAGGCGCCAAAAAUUCUGGUACAUGUUUAAAUCACGUCUUAAUUACAUUUGUCAAAGAUCCACCAACGUUAAGACUUGAGAGAUUUCAUAAAAAAAAAACAAGAGUUAAAGACAGAUGUGCGUUUUGAGAAAGUGGUGACACAUGAUCUUGUCUUGUUACAUGCACAUGCAUGCGUAAGAUUUGACUUUUCUUUGUUGGUAUGGAACCGAAAGAGCAGUUAAACUUUAUGAUAUAGAUAUACAAAUAAUACUCUCUAAAUAGCAUCAACAUUAAUUAUUACAUAUUGAUAACCUAUUAGAAUAUUUUUUUUAUUAAGAUAUAAACUCAUAUUGACUGUUUUAACAAAAGCGACAGCAUAAUUUCAAGUUAUACAUUAUACUAGUCAAUUAAUUAAAAAAAUUACUCAAAAUAUCAACAUAAUUGUAGAUUUUGAAUUGAUUUUCACUGAGACUUGAUCUAAACUAGUGGAGCGUGCCGGAUGAUGGUCAAACGAAACUAAUUAAGAAACAAUUAGUUUGAGUUAUUUCAUAUGAAUCGGUAUAAAAUAUAUAAAUUAAAAAAAAAUUGGUUCCACGAUACCUUGAAAACAGAUACUAGAUUCCAAAAAACCCAAAAUCAGUGACGUAUGCAAAGACGUCAGGUUCAUUAAACCAAAACGUUUCUUGUAUGUUAUAUAAAUAGAGAGAUGCAUAACCAACUCUUCUACAAGCUUCAGAAUCUUUCAUCUCUCUCAAAUUUCUCGAAACAUAUCAUUUUUUUUCAGUCAAAGUCAAACAUGGCUAGUAACUCUCAUAAGCUCCAUGUUAUGUUCUUCCCUAUCAUGGCUCAUGGUCACAUGAUACCAACUCUAGACAUGGCUAAGCUAUUCUCCAGCAGAGGAGCCAAGUCCACUAUUCUAACCACACCUCUCAACGCCAAGAUCCUCCAGAAACCCAUCGACAUAUUCAAGAACCUCAAUCCGAGUCUCCAAAUCGAGAUCCAGAUUUUGGAUUUUCCUUGCGUCCAGCUCGGGUUACCAGAAGGAUGCGAAAACGCUGACUUCUUCACCUUAACCAACAACAUUGAUGAUAGACGCGCCAUGAUCUCCAAAUUCUUUUUGGCGACCAGGUUUUUCAAAGACCAGCUUGAGAAGCUCCUCGAGACCAGGAGACCAGACUGUCUUAUCGCCGACAUGUUCUUCCCGUGGGCUACUGAAGC
rnacentral:lncRNA from 1 species